UCUUAUGGAUAAGUAAAGAAAAGUGUUUUCUUGAGAAGAAUCUAUUUCUGGGGAAGAUGCUGUGAA
rnacentral:pre_miRNA from 1 species